UCCCUGGGGAGCCUGUUCCAAUAGUCAACUACCCUCUAGGCAUCCAGGUAGGAUCUUGUUUUUCUCAUUUUCUGGAUCAGCCAUUUGAGAGUGAAAGGCCUGCUGAUUUCAGUAGUGCUGAGAUUGAAAAACAUAAAUGAAAAACAUAAGGUCUGGUCAAGUGAUUGAAGUGAUACCUGAGUGAAGCUGCAUUGCAAGGAAAAACACCAGAUGAAGCUGAGCAAGACCAGUCCAGGCCAGCCCACCCAGUAUAACCUCUGUUGCUACUUGUUUGAUAUAAAACUACACAUAGUCAUUCUCUUCAGCUCUCUCUCCUCCUGAGACUUUCUGUGGGCCAAUGAGAUUCCUGCCAGACCAAGGGUAUCCUGCACUUUAUGGCAUGUCAUGCCCUGUGAGGAAUCCAGCUCAUUCCUCCACUGAGAGACACCUCUGAAAACACACAUGGCCAGAACGAGGGAAGAUCAACACACUUUCUCCAUAAAUUAGCUGAAGCCAGGCUGCUUCCAGCAGGUUAUGAGUCUGUCUCCUCUGUGGCAGACCUGGGAUGCAGUUCUUGUGCAGUGUGGGUUAGAGUUUCACUUGCUCCUCUUCGCUCUUCUGGCACCUUUCCUGAGCACAGCCCAACAGAUA